CUAGGAUUCCCUUAGUAACGGCGAGUGAACCGGGAUGAGCUCAAAUUUAAAAUCUGGCGUCUUUCAGGCGUCCGAGUUGUAAUCUAUAGAGGCGUUUUCCGCGCCGGACCGCGUCCAAGUCUCUUGGAAUAGAGUAUCAAAGAGGGUGACAAUCCCGUACUUGACGCGACAACCGGUGCUCUGUGAUACGUUCUCAAUGAGUCGAGUUGUUUGGGAAUGCAGCUCUAAAUGGGUGGUAAAUUCCAUCUAAGGCUAAAUAUUGGCGAGAGACCGAUAGCGAACAAGUACCGUGAGGGAAAGAUGAAAAGCACUUUGGAAAGAGAGUUAAACAGCACGUGAAAUUGUUAAAAGGGAAACGAUUGAAGUCAGUCGUGUGAAAGGUAUUCAGCCGUCUCUGGCGGUGUAUUUGCCUUUCACGGGUCAACAUCAGUUUGAUCCGGUAGAAAAAGGCGGGAGGAAGGUGGCACCCUCGGGUGUGUUAUAGCCUCCUGUCAUAUGUGCCGGACCAGACUGAGGAACGCAGCUUGCCGCAAGGCCGGGGUUCGCCCACGUACAA
rnacentral:rRNA from 1 species